AAGGGUUGGAUAAACCACCUUAUACACAUACCAUCAGUCUUCUAUGUUGACAGCAGCUGUGUAUCAGGGGAACUCAUGAAAUGGGCAGUGCAGUGGAUACAGCACUGGACUUGGAGCAAGGAAGAUGUGAGUUCAAAUCCAGCCUUGCUAGCUGUGGGAUUUUUGGCGGCAGGAAGCCCCUGAGACGGCUGCUUGGGUUUAUGAUGUGUGAGUGCUUUCUGCUGAGGUCCUGUAAUCCUCCUCCACCUUCAGUGAGUCACCUAUCUCCUCUGGCCCCUAAUGGGAGGUGAUCUUCAGAAUCUUGCUAAGAAAACACGGAUCUUCCAUCAGCCAGCCCACACCGUCCCCAUGUGGAACCAUCAGUUACAGCACAUGGUGAAGUUUUGAAGGCGGUGAGUAAGUUCUCUUACCUCGGCAGGAUGCUUUCCAGGGAUGUCCACACUGAUAAUGAGAUUGACAGAGCUAGCUCAGUGUUUGGGAAGCUCUGAAGGAAAAUGUGGGAGAGGAAAAAUAUUUAACUACUGAACUGAAGAUGUACAGAGCUGUUAUACCUCAUUGUUGCAUGUCUGUGAAAC